rnacentral:rRNA from 1 species
UAUGCUUUGGGGAGCUGUAAGUAAGCUUUGAUCCAGAGAUUUCCGAAUGGGGAAACCCAGCACGAGUUAUGUCGUGUUAUCUGCAUGUGAAUACAUAGCAUGCAAGAAGGCAGACCCGGAGAACUGAAACAUCUUAGUACCCGGAGGAAGAGAAAGAAAAAUCGAUUCCCUGAGUAGCGGCGAGCGAAACGGGAAGAGCCCAAACCAAUAAGCUUGCUUA